UGGGGAAUAUUGGACAAUGGGCGAAAGCCUGAUCCAGCCAUGCCGCGGGUGUGAAGAAGGUCUUCGGAUUGUAAAGCACUUUAAGUUGGGAGGAAGGGCAGUAAGCGAAUACCUUGCUGUUUUGACGUUACCGACAGAAUAAGCACCGGCUAACUCUGUGCCAGCAGCCGCGGUAAUACAGAGGGUGCAAGCGUUAAUCGGAAUUACUGGGCGUAAAGCGCGCGUAGGUGGUUCGUUAAGUUGAAUGUGAAAGCCCCGGGCUCAAGCUGGGAACUGCAUCUAAAACUGGCGAGCUAGAGUAGGGCAGAGGGUGGUGGAAUUUCCUGUGUAGCGGUGAAAUGCGUAGAUAUAGGGAGGAACACCAGUGGCGAAGGCGACCACCUGGGCUCAUACUGACCCUGAGGUGCGAAAGCGUGGGGAGCAAACAGG
rnacentral:rRNA from 1 species